GGCUCGUUGGCUCAGUUGGUUAGAGUGUCCACACUUAGUAUCGUGGAGGUCGUAGGUUCGAAUCCUACACGAGCCC